AUUGAACGCUGGCGGCAGGCCUAACACAUGCAAGUCGAGCGGAUGAGAGGAGCUUGCUCCUUGAUUUAGCGGCGGACGGGUGAGUAAUGCCUAGGAAUCUGCCUGGUAGUGGGGGAUAACGUUCCGAAAGGAACGCUAAUACCGCAUACGUCCUACGGGAGAAAGCAGGGGACCUUCGGGCCUUGCACUAUCAGAUGAGCCUAGGUCGGAUUAGCUAGUUGGUGAGGUAAUGGCUCACCAAGGCGACGAUCCGUAACUGGUCUGAGAGGAUGAUCAGUCACACUGGAACUGAGACACGGUCCAGACUCCUACUGGAGGCAGCAGUGGGGAAUAUUGGACAAUGGGCGAAAGCCUGAUCCAGCCAUGCCGCGUGUGUGAAGAAGGUCUUCGGAUUGUAAAGCACUUUAAGUUGGGAGGAAGGGCAUUAACCUAAUACGUUAGUGUUUUGACGUUACCGACAGAAUAAGCACCGGCUAACUUCGUGCCAGCCGCCGCCGUAACAC
rnacentral:rRNA from 1 species